ensembl:misc_RNA 7SK 7SK RNA
GGAUGUUAGGGCGAUCUGGCUGUGACAUCCAUCACCCCAUUGAUCGCAGGGUUGAUUCGGCUGCUCUGGCUGGCUAGGCGGGUGUCCCCUUCCUCCCUCACCCCUCCAUGUGCGUCCCUCACGAAGCCGCGCGCUCGGUCGAAGAGGACGGCCUUCCCCGAAUAGAGACGGACCCGCCUUCGGUCGGUCGAGGGUAUACGAGCAGCUACAACCUGCUAGACCCUCCAAACAAGCUCUCAAGUAGCAUAACGUCAAGGUGCACCCCUGCUAUGUAGCAUGUAUCGGUACUGUAUUCCUCUUUAUAGGAAAAUAAAAUUCCUUUAGAUGGAUAUACCACAUGGCUUU